ensembl:miRNA Mir6389 microRNA 6389
CCUCCUAAGCACUGCAAUGUUAAACCUUCCCAAACUCCCCAAGCUAGUUUUGCCUAGCUUUGGGACUAUUGUGUAUUUGGGUUCAACAGCUUUUGCUGAAGU